AUGUGGCACACGGAGCCAGGAAUAUUCUAUGGCCUUCGAGCUGAGAUGAGUAUAUGGGCUUCACCAAAUCAAGAAAACUCUCAAGAAUCUGGAGCAUCCUUACAGAUCUAUUGUGAAGAUGGAGGAAACUACAACUUAAUUCAAGUUGGAUUUCACAUUUCCCCCUCCUUAUACCAUAACAAAGAUAUUCGCUUCUUUACAUAUUGGACUAAGGACUUGAAAUCAAGGGGGUGCUACAACUUGAAGUGCCCAGGAUUUGUUUCUGCACGUGGAGCUAAUCUGGUACCUGGACAAGCCAUUGCUCCUCCAUCAAUUUAUGGCAAACAAGACUACUACGUUAGGCUUAGCCUCAACCAGGAUCCAAAUUCCGAAGAUUGGGUGGUGUACCGUCAUGAUUUAGAAAAUCCGUCAUUAUUGGGACAUUUUCCAAAGAAGCUUUGCCCUGGAAUACCACGCAUACAAGCCUUGACUGGUUUCGUGAAUUACUUCAAGAAUGCACAUGGUCCUCCAAUGGGUAGCGGCCACUUCCCCAAUUAUGAGGAUCACGACGAUAAGAAAUUUGCGUAUUUCAGGCGCAUUCGGUAUUAUAGUCCAAAUGGUCGUUCUUAUAACCUGUUUGGCGUUCCCAUGGUCAAGUUACUUGAUAGGGUAGAUUGUUAUAGAGCAAAUGGUUUAGUUUUCGAUUAUAAGAGGGGUUAUAUGUUCAACUAUGGUGGACCAAGUGGUUGUGUUGGUUGA
rnacentral:rRNA from 1 species